rnacentral:rRNA from 1 species
CCUAUACAUGCAAGUCGAGCGAACAGACAAGGAGCUUGCUCCUUUGACGUUAGCGGCGGACGGGUGAGUAACACGUGGGUAACCUACCUAUAAGACUGGGAUAACUUCGGGAAACCGGAGCUAAUACCGGAUAAUAUUUCGAACCGCAUGGUUCGAUAGUGAAAGAUGGUUUUGCUAUCACUUAUAGAUGGACCCGCGCCGUAUUAGCUAGUUGGUAAGGUAACGGCUUACCAAGGCGACGAUACGUAGCCGACCUGAGAGGGUGAUCGGCCACACUGGAACUGAGACACGGUCCAGACUCCUACGGGAGGCAGCAGUAGGGAAUCUUCCGCAAUGGGCGAAAGCCUGACGGAGCAACGCCGCGUGAGUGAUGAAGGUCUUCGGAUCGUAAAACUCUGUUAUUAGGGAAGAACAUACGUGUAAGUAACUAUGCACGUCUUGACGGUACCUAAUCAGAAAGCCACGGCUAACUACGUGCCAGCAGCCGCGGUAAUACGUAGGUGGCAAGCGUUAUCCGGAAUUAUUGGGCGUAAAGCGCGCGUAGGCGGUUUUUUAAGUCUGAUGUGAAAGCCCACGGCUCAACCGUGGAGGGUCAUUGGAAACUGGAAAACUUGAGUGCAGAAGAGGAAAGUGGAAUUCCAUGUGUAGCGGUGAAAUGCGCAGAGAUAUGGAGGAACACCAGUGGCGAAGGCGACUUUCUGGUCUGUAACUGACGCUGAUGUGCGAAAGCGUGGGGAUCAAACAGGAUUAGAUACCCUGGUAGUCCACGCCGUAAACGAUGAGUGCUAAGUGUUAGGGGGUUUCCGCCCCUUAGUGCUGCAGCUAACGCAUUAAGCACUCCGCCUGGGGAGUACGACCGCAAGGUUGAAACUCAAAGGAAUUGACGGGGACCCGCACAAGCGGUGGAGCAUGUGGUUUAAUUCGAAGCAACGCGAAGAACCUUACCAAAUCUUGACAUCCUUUGACAACUCUAGAGAUAGAGCCUUCCCCUUCGGGGGACAAAGUGACAGGUGGUGCAUGGUUGUCGUCAGCUCGUGUCGUGAGAUGUUGGGUUAAGUCCCGCAACGAGCGCAACCCUUAAGCUUAGUUGCCAUCAUUAAGUUGGGCACUCUAAGUUGACUGCCGGUGACAAACCGGAGGAAAGGUGGGGAUGACGUCAAAUCAUCAUGCCCCUUAUGAUUUGGGCUACACACGUGCUACAAUGGACAAUACAAAGGGCAGCGAAACCGCGAGGUCAAGCAAAUCCCAUAAAGUUGUUCUCAGUUCGGAUUGUAGUCUGCAACUCGACUACAUGAAGCUGGAAUCGCUAGUAAUCGUAGAUCAGCAUGCUACGGUGAAUACGUUCCCGGGUCUUGUACACACCGCCCGUCACACCACGAGAGUUUGUAACACCCGAAGCCGGUGGAGUAACCAUUGGAGCUAGCCGUCGA